ensembl:snoRNA SNORA70 Small nucleolar RNA SNORA70
CCGCAGCCAAUUAAGCCGGUCGUGGCCCCCCUCGCCGUGGGGCCCCGGCGUGCCCUGGCUGCGCACAGGGACCCCCCCGGCUGUGUAGGGGUGCCCGGUGUGGCCGUCGCGGGGCGCCCCAAGGGGCCGGGGGGACAGGA